UCUAUAUUUAUUUCCAUAGAAAAACUGUUAAUUAAGUAGCAUGAGGAACAUCUUUGUAAUUCCUCAGUCCAUUACCUUAUUCUUACCAAUAAAAGGGGAUAAAUGUAGGGAUCACUGAAUAUAGUAAUACUUACUGAAAGUUGAAGUGUUUGUAUAGACAAGUGAUACAAAUGUUAAAGACAUUGACCAAGUGAAAUAUUUAUUUUGAGUAGCAAGAUAACAUACAAAUAAUAAUUCAAGACAUGUCAAAAAGGAUAUUCUAAAAAAAAAUAUCACAAAUGUCAACUUUCAAAGCUUUUAGAUUCUAAAUGAAACAAGAUGUUAUGAUUGUAAAAUGCUAAAAAAAAAUUUAUCCUGCAACAUGUUAACAAAAACUAUAAUAACUACUGCAUUUUCUUGUUUUGAUUAGCCUGAUAAAUUUUAAGUUAUCUAAAAGAAUGAACUUUAAAAACUGAUUUCUUUUGAACUUACAUUAGUCCAAGUAAUGAGAGACACCCAGAGAGAAACAAAAACGAAAAUGAUGCUGCCUUUUUUUAAUAUUAAUAGUUGGGCAAUGAAAACCCAAUUUAGAGCAGCUUACACUCAUAGCUGAACUUUUGGUCUGGGAUACUUAGGUACUAUGUUUUCAACAUUAACUUUACAACACUCUUCUCAAAGAGACCAGGAGAGGCUGAUCAUUUGAUGACAAACUCACCUACUUAAACUAAGCAACAAAGCAACUGUGUAGAGCACAAUAUGAAUGCUUGAAAAUACUUGCCAUUGAAAGAAAAGUCUAUGUUCUUUGGUGCCUGAAAGAAAAGUCUAUCUACCCACUCCAAUGUUCACUGUGACUUGACAGAUAGCUCACAUUGACAAUAGUGUUAAGCUCACAUUGACAGUAGUGUUAUCACUUUU